CAAAAAUUUUAGCAACGGCUUUGUUUUAGAAAAUAAGGCACCCUAUUGGAAUGCCAUUAAAAUCAGGCAAAUGAGCAGUAAAGUUUUGAUACAUGAGAAAAGCAAGUAAUAAACUUUUUCUUGCAUCAAGGGAACUUUGCCUGGAUGCCAGUGAGCAGCCAAAGAACUCCAAGGGAGCAAAGAUGAAGUUCUGCACAGACAUGCUGUUGCUCUAAGUCUUUCAGUUUCCAUCUUCUCAGUUAUCCCAAAUAAAAGAUUAAGGCUUUGGGGUUAUCUUCUCUGCAAAAAUAUACUUACAGAGGUCCCUCCAAGAGCAGCAGCAACUCGUUCCUACAGCCAGAGCUGCUGGGCACCAGGUAAGCAUCCUCCCAAACUGGAUAUGAAAGGGGUUCCUGGCACAGCUACCUUUUAGGCACUAAUGGCUGGGUGAGGCUUGGCACACCACACUGCCAGAUUUGCAGCUUCGGCAAAUAAAUUGUGGGGCAGGUUGUUCAGAGGGCUGGAGGAGGUGGGAGGUCUGUGGGGUUGUGUUUGUAGGAUGGGAUGUCAGUUCUGUGUGUCUGGGAGCUGUGCUGGGAGAUGCUCCUGGACUUUCCCCCAGCUUUGAGUGGGGUCAGGACUUGUGAGACCAAACGUGGGGGUUGUUGGAGGUGAGAGCUGCUGUUUUCUAAUGGUACUGAGAGUGAUUUUAACAACGCCAGGUGAGGACAAACACUAUGAUAGGUACAAAAUAAUCGCCCUAGCCAAAAGGCACAAUAGCUCUGUGGUGCACACAAUGGAGAGGAAUUGAGAGUUCUUGGAUCAGUUUUUGACUUUGCCACAGACCUCCAGUGUUACUUUCAGGCAGUCACUAAAUCCCUGCGUCCACCAUCUGCGAAGCAGCCAGGCUUGGAACAGUUUGUGUCUCUGGAAGCAUGUAUCUAAUUCAGCUGUUAUUAUCAAAGCUAAAUAUUAAAGAACUGUUGUGUUAUCAUGGGCUAAAACCAUGACACACCAUUUUCACUGUGAACUUUGUUCUUUUGCUAUUACGUUUUGUUUACAUUACUUUUUUCAGGAAAAACAAUGUUUUCACUGCAUAUAAGUUAGGCAGAAAUUCAUGAUGCAUGCUGUGCAAGCUAGACUUGUAGAUUUGAUGUCUGACACUUAAAAUAAAGAUGCAUGUUAAAUGCCACUAGGAAGACUUCAGGGCUGGUUGUUCAAUAAAAUGAAGCACGAGUCUGGGCAUUGAAAGUAAACAAAUAAUAUAAGACUAUGUAGAGAUCAACCUUCCAAAGCUGUUUGGAAAGUUCCAUAACUUGGGUCUAACUGUGGGCACUUCUCAUCCCCUUGGUGACAGGCAUGCUGCUCUGAAUUUGUUGUUCAAACUUCCAUUAAUAUUCUGUGUCAGACAAGGAAAUAACUUAGGAUCAAUUGUCAAACAUGUUUCUUCAGAAAGGAACUAAAGAGCAAUCCUGAAAAAUAUCUCCUGGGAUGGAAAAAUUCUGAUCUUUGAGAAAACAGAGGAACUGCUGUGUGAGAGGAAAAAUGUCAAUUUAUUUGGAGGACAGGUGAGUUUGUUUACUAAACUAUGCAAUCUUCAAGUCUGUCUUUGAAAAUGCACGGUCAGUUUAAGAGGAGGUGCUUUCAGCUUUAGAAAGCACUGGUAAACGUCAAAAUUAUUUACAUUUUUCACAUAAUGGACC
rnacentral:lncRNA from 1 species